rnacentral:misc_RNA from 1 species
CAGAGUUCAUGCCCUUACGGGUAGAUCUCCCACCCUUUGUUAUCAUUACCUUUGUUGCUUUGGCGGGCCGCCAGGCCUUGGUCAGGCUACCGGCUCCGGCUGGUAAGCGCCCGCCAGAGGACCCCAAAAAUCUGAAUGUUAGUGUCGUCUGAGUACUAUAUAAUAGUUA